UAUAGAAGCCAGGGAAUGAGUACAUUUCUUUUUGAGCAAUGUAACCCCCUCCCUAGCUCUCUCCAUUGUUCCCUCCUGCUCCCACCCAUAGUUGUACAGUUCAUUUUAACAUAGUAUCUAGUGAAUACCACUGAUGAAUUUGUUCAUCCUUUACAGUUUUUAACAACUUAAACACAUCUAGAAGUUUCUUUAACCACAUACAGUAUGACCAAAUAAUUUACUUAACUCUAUUGUAUAAGACCAUUUCUCCUGUGACUCACUCCUCUGUCCUUAAAGUUUCUUUUGCUAUCCUAUCCACAUUUCUUAAAACACAACUUUCCUGUGAUGUAUUUCAAGCUGCCUUAAUGAUUUAAUCAGCUUAUUUUUCUGACUGCUGUUAUCUUUCCCCUUACAUUUCAACCUUUUCCAGCAAGUAAUUUCUGGCAGUCAAGUAUCAUCUUUUAUACUUAUUUCCAAAUCUCAUGAUAUGAGUAAAGUUGGCAACACUGUAGACUGUUGUUGCAGUUCUAA